UCAAUCUCCCAGAAUCCCCUGGGAGAUCACGUGACUCCAACCUCAAUCUCAUGCUCCAAUCAGCACUCCAGUUCUCCAGAGUACUGAUCAGUUACACCUGUUCUUCUCUGAUUAGUUUAGUUUAAAGCCAGGGUUUGUAGCUAGUCUCAACAGUAUUGCUUCUUUUCACAGAGCUAUUGAGUAUUAUUUCUGACUGUUUAUUAGGAGUAACUCAUUCUCUGGAGUCCUUAGCUCACCAACAGGCGGAACAACAAACCCAGCUAGCACUCCUGGUUAAUAGUGUGAAGGAUCUCACCACCCAACUUCAGAGCCUCAACACCGCAGAGCCAGUGGCUAGUCCUGUUAAUCCCUCAAGUACAACUAUGAACUCGAGUGCUGUUUUUCCAGUCAGUAAACCAGACCCUAGGACGAGGCUACACUGGACAUCACACCAUCCCAUCUGGAGGAGAUAGAUGGAACACCUGCGUUUACUGUCUGUAGGGUGCUGGACUCCUGGUGACGUGGAGGUGUACUCCAGUACCUCAUGGAUUGGGAGGGAUAUGGCCCUGAGGAGCAGUGUUGACUGUCUUUGGACUCAACCACCCAGAAUCCCCUGGGAGAUCAUAUGAAUCCAGCCUCACUCUCACACUCCAAUGAGCGCUCCAGUUCCUGAUUAGUUUAGUUUAAAGCCCAGGCUUGUAGAUAGUCUCAUUGUGAGGUAUUGCUUCUUUCACAGAGCUACUGAGCAUUAUUCCUGACUGUUUAUUCCAGUUCUGUUUUGCCUUGUUUUUGACCUACCUUUUGCCUGAUCCCUUUUGGACUUUUUGCCUGGUUAUGUUUGUGUUUGUGUAUCCUGUCUUUUCUGGAUUUGACCAUUGCCUGUGACCUGACUACGAUUGUGGAUUCUGUUUGCACAAGUAAAUCCUCUCAUUCACCUUUUA